rnacentral:rRNA from 1 species
GCGAUCCCAGGUCAGGCGGGACUACCCGCUGAGUUUAAGCAUAUC